UAAGGGAUAUUGGUNAAUGGGGGAAACCCUGAACCAGCAACGCCGCGUGAGGGAAGACGGUUUUCGGAUUGUAAACCUCUGUCCUCUGUGAAGAUGAUGACGGUAGCAGAGGAGGAAGCUCCGGCUAACUACGUGCC
rnacentral:rRNA from 1 species